GAUGAACGCUGGCGGCGUGCUUAACACAUGCAAGUCGAACGGAAAGGCUCCUGCUUGCAGGGGUACUCGAGUGGCGAACGGGUGAGUAACACGUGGGUGAUCUGCCCUGCACUUCGGGAUAAGCCUGGGAAACUGGGUCUAAUACCGGAUAGGACCACAUUUUGGAUGGUGUGGUGGAAAGUUCUUCGGUGUGGGAUGAGCUCGCGGCCUAUCAGCUUGUUGGUGGGGUAAUGGCCUACCAAGGCGUCGACGGGUAGCCGGCCUGAGAGGGUGUACGGCCACAUUGGGACUGAGAUACGGCCCAGACUCCUACGGGAGGCAGCAGUGGGGAAUAUUGCACAAUGGGCGCAAGCCUGAUGCAGCGACGCCGCGUGGGGGAUGACGGCCUUCGGGUUGUAAACUCCUUUCGCUAGGGACGAAGCGUUUUUGUGACGGUACCUGGAGAAGAAGCACCGGCUAACUACGUG
rnacentral:rRNA from 1 species